AAUCGAUAUUCCCUUAACUCUGGU
rnacentral:piRNA from 1 species